rnacentral:lncRNA from 10 species
ACCAGGCCCCGGGGCCGCGACGCGUCUCUCCAGCCCGGGAUCCGGGGAGCUGGGCUGUCCCCAGACCGACGGGACAGCGGCAUCUCCUCCACCUGAAAAGGAAAGAGGACCAGUUUGCAGGACUCCGAACUGGGCCCGCGAGAUCUCCACCUGCGCAAAACGAAAGGGCGGAUUCUCCUUGGACUCACGAGGCAACCGCUCCCCGGGGUGAGAACGGGGGACUCAUUCCUCCGGCACUGGGAGAAGACGAUUCUUUAGGAGGAGGACAGGGAAGCGAAUGCUACCCAGAUGUCUCAGUAUACUGGCUCGCGGCACAUCGGGCAAAUGAACCUAUCAGAUAACAACGGCAGAUCAGAUGCCUGAGCAUUCAGAAGCAACAGCUGUGGAGCCCCCGUGGGUUCAGAAGGCCUGGUUCCCGUCUCCAGAAGCCUGGCUCUCCUCCCUCCUGGGCCCACUACUUUGGCUUCUUGUUCCUACGUACAAGGAGUUGCGAAGAAGGCAACUCUUCCCCUCCCUGAAGCCAAAGGAAUGAAACAGACUAGGGCGGGAGAGGUGGCCAUCCGUCAUUAGUUGCGGCCAUCAGUAACAGCAACAGGACACGGAACCUAAGGCUGUAUCCAUCCUGGGCCCCCAGGGAAACAUCAGCGGGAGCGGUACUAAGGAAGUGCUCAUCUCUUAGAGACAAAGGCCCAUGGAGGGGAACAGUAACCAUCCCCUCCCAAUUCAGAAAAUGUUAACAUAAGCACUUCAUUUCUCAUGCAGAUAACCACAUAAGUCUAUUAAUAAGAAAGAAAGAGAAAGAAAAAAAAGAAAAAGGAAUCCAUGCCAGCAGGGUAUAGGAAUUGGUCUAUAGGAGAAAGGGUCACCCACUGAAAGGUGGGCUGAAUAGAAUUCCUUGCCUGGGCUUUGAGGUCCUGGCAUGGAGAAGGCUGUAGAAAUGCUGGCAUCAGUGGAACCCUCAAUAAACAGAAUUCUUGUUAAAGAA